AGCGUACACGGUGGAUGCCCUGGCAGUCAGAGGCGAUGAAGGACGUGCUAAUCUGCGAUAAGCGUCGGUGAGGUGAUAUGAACCGUUAUAACCGGCGAUUUCCGAAUGGGGAAACCCAGUGUGUUUCGACACACUAUCAUUAACUGAAUCCAUAGGUUAAUGAGGCGAACCGGGGGAACUGAAACAUCUAAGUACCCCGAGGAAAAGAAAUCAACCGAGAUUCCCCCAGUAGCGGCGAGCGAACGGGGAGGAGCCCAGAGCCUGAAUCAGUGUGUGUGUUAGUGGAAGCGUCUGGAAAGGCGUGCGAUACAGGGUGACAGCCCCGUACACAAAAAUGCACAUAUUGUGAGCUCGAUGAGUAGGGCGGGACACGUGGUAUCCUGUCUGAAUAUGGGGGGACCAUCCUCCAAGGCUAAAUACUCCUGACUGACCGAUAGUGAACCAGUACCGUGAGGGAAAGGCGAAAAGAACCCCGGCGAGGGGAGUGAAAAAGAACCUGAAACCGUGUACGUACAAGCAGUGGGAGCCUCUUAAUGGGGUGACUGCGUACCUUUUGUAUAAUGGGUCAGCGACUUAUAUUCUGUAGCAAGGUUAACCGAAUAGGGGAGCCGAAGGGAAACCGAGUCUUAACUGGGCGUUAAGUUGCAGGGUAUAGACCCGAAACCCGGUGAUCUAGCCAUGGGCAGGUUGAAGGUUGGGUAACACUAACUGGAGGACCGAACCGACUAAUGUUGAAAAAUUAGCGGAUGACUUGUGGCUGGGGGUGAAAGGCCAAUCAAACCGGGAGAUAGCUGGUUCUCCCCGAAAGCUAUUUAGGUAGCGCCUCGUGAAUUCAUCUCCGGGGGUAGAGCACUGUUUCGGCAAGGGGGUCAUCCCGACUUACCAACCCGAUGCAAACUGCGAAUACCGGAGAAUGUUAUCACGGGAGACACACGGCGGGUGCUAACGUCCGUCGUGAAGAGGGAAACAACCCAGACCGCCAGCUAAGGUCCCAAAGUCAUGGUUAAGUGGGAAACGAUGUGGGAAGGCCCAGACAGCCAGGAUGUUGGCUUAGAAGCAGCCAUCAUUUAAAGAAAGCGUAAUAGCUCACUGGUCGAGUCGGCCUGCGCGGAAGAUGUAACGGGGCUAAACCAUGCACCGAAGCUGCGGCAGCGACACUAUGUGUUGUUGGGUAGGGGAGCGUUCUGUAAGCCUGUGAAGGUGGCCUGUGAGGGUUGCUGGAGGUAUCAGAAGUGCGAAUGCUGACAUAAGUAACGAUAAAGCGGGUGAAAAGCCCGCUCGCCGGAAGACCAAGGGUUCCUGUCCAACGUUAAUCGGGGCAGGGUGAGUCGACCCCUAAGGCGAGGCCGAAAGGCGUAGUCGAUGGGAAACAGGUUAAUAUUCCUGUACUUGGUGUUACUGCGAAGGGGGGACGGAGAAGGCUAUGUUGGCCGGGCGACGGUUGUCCCGGUUUAAGCGUGUAGGCUGGUUUUCCAGGCAAAUCCGGAAAACCAAGGCUGAGGCGUGAUGACGAGGCACUACGGUGCUGAAGCGACAAAUGCCCUGCUUCCAGGAAAAGCCUCUAAGCAUCAGGUAACAUCAAAUCGUACCCCAAACCGACACAGGUGGUCAGGUAGAGAAUACCAAGGCGCUUGAGAGAACUCGGGUGAAGGAACUAGGCAAAAUGGUGCCGUAACUUCGGGAGAAGGCACGCUGAUAUGUAGGUGAAGCGACUUGCUCGUGGAGCUGAAAUCAGUCGAAGAUACCAGCUGGCUGCAACUGUUUAUUAAAAACACAGCACUGUGCAAACACGAAAGUGGACGUAUACGGUGUGACGCCUGCCCGGUGCCGGAAGGUUAAUUGAUGGGGUUAGCGGUAACGCGAAGCUCUUGAUCGAAGCCCCGGUAAACGGCGGCCGUAACUAUAACGGUCCUAAGGUAGCGAAAUUCCUUGUCGGGUAAGUUCCGACCUGCACGAAUGGCGUAAUGAUGGCCAGGCUGUCUCCACCCGAGACUCAGUGAAAUUGAACUCGCUGUGAAGAUGCAGUGUACCCGCGGCAAGACGGAAAGACCCCGUGAACCUUUACUAUAGCUUGACACUGAACAUUGAGCCUUGAUGUGUAGGAUAGGUGGGAGGCUUUGAAGUGUGGACGCCAGUCUGCAUGGAGCCGACCUUGAAAUACCACCCUUUAAUGUUUGAUGUUCUAACGUUGGCCCGUAAUCCGGGUUGCGGACAGUGUCUGGUGGGUAGUUUGACUGGGGCGGUCUCCUCCUAAAGAGUAACGGAGGAGCACGAAGGUUGGCUAAUCCUGGUCGGACAUCAGGAGGUUAGUGCAAUGGCAUAAGCCAGCUUGACUGCGAGCGUGACGGCGCGAGCAGGUGCGAAAGCAGGUCAUAGUGAUCCGGUGGUUCUGAAUGGAAGGGCCAUCGCUCAACGGAUAAAAGGUACUCCGGGGAUAACAGGCUGAUACCGCCCAAGAGUUCAUAUCGACGGCGGUGUUUGGCACCUCGAUGUCGGCUCAUCACAUCCUGGGGCUGAAGUAGGUCCCAAGGGUAUGGCUGUUCGCCAUUUAAAGUGGUACGCGAGCUGGGUUUAGAACGUCGUGAGACAGUUCGGUCCCUAUCUGCCGUGGGCGCUGGAGAACUGAGGGGGGCUGCUCCUAGUACGAGAGGACCGGAGUGGACGCAUCACUGGUGUUCGGGUUGUCAUGCCAAUGGCACUGCCCGGUAGCUAAAUGCGGAAGAGAUAAGUGCUGAAAGCAUCUAAGCACGAAACUUGCCCCGAGAUGAGUUCUCCCUGACUCCUUGA
rnacentral:rRNA from 3 species